rnacentral:lncRNA from 1 species
AAUUAACCAAAUCCAUAUUUUUUAUCCAUUUCAUAUCCACUUUUCUUAAAUUCCAUUUAAGAGAAAAAAACCAUUUUUACAAUUAAUCCAUUUUACAAUAUCCAAUUAACCCAAAACCAUAAACCAAUUCUAAUUUUUAAAUCCAUUUUACACUAAUAUCUAUUUAUCUUUUAAUCAUAUCCCAAAUAUCCAAAUUCAUUUCAUUUACAAUUUCUAAACCAUCAUUCGAAUAAUACUUUACAUUGUUAAUAUACAUUAUGGAAAGGAAAAAACAAAGUACAUCCAAUGCCAGUUGCAAGAAGGAAAUCAAAAGCUAGCGCAAGCCAAAGCUAAAACCGCGGCAACAAGCGAAAAAGCCACAAGCUGCAUAAUAACGUGCAGGCAAUAAGCCAUUAUCAACUACAACACCAGCGUAAAAUGCACGUGCCAUUUAAAGAACAACAGCUUGAACGAGCCACCUGCAAAAUUCCAACGCAAAGUUCAAGCUAACACAACAAAACUUGAGCUACUUCCGCAAGCCGACGGCAACAACCAAGUUAUGAAAACAACAGCUCCAACACAAAGUACCAAUACCAGCUUCAUUAAGCCAAACUGCAAAACGGCAAUAGAAAUGAAAUAAACGGCAACGGAAAAAUCAAACUUAAUUCUAUAAAUUCUUCUUCCCGCUCUCAAAUAUUUUUCCAGAUUCUUCUUCUUCUUCCUCUCUUCAAUUCCUUCAACAACCGUAACAAACUCACAAAAACCGGUAACCGCCACUUCAACCUCCUCUACCAACCAACUUCUCUUUCUUCUUCAACUUUCCAAGAACCACCACCGCUAUCGAAUCCAACCCUCACCGACCACCACCGUGAUCCAAUUUCUUCAUUCGUCACCCUCCGUGUUCAUUCUCGACCACACACAAACUCCUUCACCAUCAUCUUCUUGGACCUGCAACCAUCCUUAGUCCUUCAACAAACUUCACAUAACAGAAAUCGAAACCGAAAAGGUAGAAGCGAUCCUCCACGAAGUCAAACUCGUCAUCACCAUCUUGAUUCGUCAAUCAUCACGAUUCGGCAACUCGACGUGACGUGCUUCAUCUUGAUUCAAUACCAAAAGAACGCAUCGAACCACAACAACGCGAAUCGCAACAAGACAAGAACAAGGAGUUUCGGAAUCGAGCCGUGGAGACCUGAGCUUCGAGUUCGUCUUUGCCGUCGCCGGUAAGAGUGAAUCACGGUAGCAUUCUAUUUUGUUUGAGUGGAGAGGUUGAUUCCUGUUUCGGUAAAGAGAGGUUGAGGCUGGGAGGAGUGGUGCGCAUCCUAUCGUAGGGAACCGCCGCCGGCAUCGGCGAAAGCCGGCACGAUCAAGUUCUUUGGCAGCGCAUGUUUUUCUUUCUCUCUGUGGAUCUCCGAGCGCGAGUGAAUGAGGGAAGAUGAAGAUUCUCUAUAGUUUUCCUACUCCAUAGGCCAGCUAACACCUCCCUGCGGUUGGGCCUUUGCCCUAACCCCCCUUCCAGGCCCAUUCCCUUCAUUUUCAUGUUUUUUGGUUCUGUCAGUUAGCUUUCAGAAAUACUCUUGGUUAGUUAUAGGAUUAAUUAGGAUUUAGGUUAAUUAAUUAGGACCUAGGUUAAAUAAUCAAUAUUUAGAAUAUUAAUUAGAGAUCAAAUUUUAGAAAUACAAUAACUGUAGAAAUUAAUUAGGAAAAUUGGGAUUAGAGUUUGUUUAGGACAAUUAGAAUUAAUUUUAGAAUUAGUU